rnacentral:lncRNA from 1 species
CUAGAAUCAAGAUAAAAAGAGUAAUAGAUCUAUACAAGUGUCUGAAAAUAAAUGUCAAAAUAUAAUCAAUCCAGAGAAUGUGUAACAAUAGAAGCAAGUCCAUGGGCCAUCAUAUUGCCUAGUCUAGGUACAAAGCAACACGAACCACAACUUACAUCAAGUAACAAAGCUACAAUAAAGAAAAUGAUCGUAACGAGGAGAACUUAAAUUAGAUGACAAACUUGCACUACUCGGGACGAAUCACACUCAGCAACCACCUCAUUCGAUCGAUUUCAGAUCCCAGCACCAGCAACCACAUACCAGCACCUACAUGGCUUGAGCCUAUAAUCACCCCUGCAUUGGUAUUCAGUUUCGAUGUCCUGGCAACCGGAGGCAACCAUUGAACCACAACUGGCUGGGGGUUCCUUCCUGUCUAUGAGUUGGGAGACGCCAUAGUAGCAACAAACUCACAACACAACUCAUGAGCAAGCGUCCCUGCACCUCGUCCUUAUGGACCAUCUGACUGCGGUCUCCCCACAUCAUCUAGACGAUCCCUGCAACCAAUUCGGUCGAUACCUUUAAUUCUUAGCCAAGGAAAGCAGAAAUAAUGUCGGUCCAACUGAGUUUGCUAAGGUGUUUAAAAACUUCCCACUAGGUCGUGGCUUUUCAUAUUGCCUUGCCACUCUUUACACAUAAGAAAGCAC